UUCACCUUUUCUGUUCAUAACAGCCAUAUAUACUAUUAAAAUGACUUAAAUUAAUUUAUUUAUUAAAUAACUGAUAAUAAUAUAAUACGUACCUGAAUCAUCUGCGCUCUGGUGGCAGAAAUAGGAAUUAAAAAUUGAAAUUACAUCAUUUCGCGCGGUGUCAUAUUGAAAGGUGGAAGCAACCGCAGAGUUUGUUAUAAGUGUGAAAAAUUUAAUACACAUCGACAUGUCAUUACUUCAAAACGGAAUGUCACUCUUUCCUUUCUUUUUCGAGGAUCGGAAAGGACCUAAUGGUGCUUUAAAAGUAAAAAAUGUCUCUUCCAGUCUUCACUUCUUCUAUUGAUGAUCUAUCGAUGAUUUCGGUUUGAUGAUGGCUUGAUGGUAUUUUCCCUUGAAGCACAACAAUAUCAUUGACAACGCUCUUCGCAUUUAAUUAUAUCUUUAUUGGACAGUGAUAUCAUUAAUUGUGGGACUUCAUUAUUAUAGAAUUUCAAUAAGAAUGUCAAGAAUGACUAAUAGUAAGGAAGUAUUGGUAGUACGUUAUGUACGAUACGUUAUGUUACGUACGGUAGUACGAUUGGAAAAUAAUAAAAGAUAAUUGAUUUUGACUUCGCCUAAGCUGUGUAAUAAUCUAAAAACGUGGUUUGUCAGGUGAAUGUUAGUUUCAAAUAAAUUGAGAUAUUUCUA
rnacentral:misc_RNA from 1 species